AAAGCAAGAGAGAAACUUCUUCCCAGAUUAAGAACAGAAACUAAGAUUGACAGGACGUGAGGCAAAGCUGUGGAGGUGAGGAGAUGGAGGGCCAGGGGGAUGGAAAGGAUUAUGGAAUCAGAUGCUGCCCUUGAUUUGCCAAGCAGUGUGGUCCUCCUGGGGACAUUUAGUGGCAUUAGGCGAUUUUACAUUCUGCUUACCAAAUUUGCAUCUCCAUUCAUCUGGGACAGACAGCAUCCCUGUUUACCUAAAACACACAUGAAUCUUUGUCCACUCAAUACAUACAGAUCACAGGGCCAAAAGAUCAUAUCUGAGCUUCAAUUAAAGACAUACUUUUUAAAAUGGUCUGUAUUUUUCCACAAUUCUCUCUUUAGGGGCAAUAUGAGAUCUUCCAGACUGAGCAGAGGACGUCUGGAUGAUGCCACAGUGCCAUCAUGUGGUGGAAGGUCAUUGAGCAGAUCUGCCGGAUGCUUGGGAAGGAAAGGAUAUUCAUGUUCUUCUUUCCAGAGUGGGACCAUAUAAAUUAUAUUUCUGGGACAUUGCAAAGAUUGGUCCUAAGAUGGAACUAGAAAGUGAGCACUGGCGAUAUAACACCAAACAAGGAUGCAAAGCAGCUGUCAUCGAUUCCUUUGCCAUGACAGCAAUUUGGGAUAGAAAACUAUCCAGACUGCAAAUGGAUCCAAUGAAGUAUGACGUCAUUGUGGGGGUUAUCAACAAGAACCAUCACUGGAUUCUGACAGUUCUGUAUCCACAUGAGAAGAGAUGCCUGUUUUUGGAUCCUUUGGGAGAAACAGCAACUAAUCAGAAAAGAUGCGAGGAGACAACAAGGUAA
rnacentral:lncRNA from 1 species